rnacentral:rRNA from 1 species
UCGGGAAUUUUGGGCAAUGGGCGAAAGCCUGACGCAGCGACACCGCGUGAGUGAGGAAGGUCUUCGGAUUGUAAAGCUCUGUCGGCAGGAAAGAUGGAACAGGUGGUUAAUACCCAUUUGUUUUGACGGUACCUGCAAAGGAAGCACCGGCUAACUCUGUGCCAGCAGCCGCGGUAAUACAGAGGGUGCAAGCGUUGUUCGGAUUUACUGGGCGUAAAGCGCGCGUAGGCGGUAUAUCAAGUCGGAUGUGAAAACCCAAGGCUUAACCAUGGAAGUGCAUUCGAAACUGGUACACUGGAGUCUCGGAGAGGGUGGUGGAAUUCCUGGUGUAGAGGUGAAAUUCGUAGAUAUCAGGAAGAACAUCAGUGGCGAAGGCGACCACCUGGACGAUGACUGACGCUGAGGCGCGAAAGCCAGGGGAGCAAACGGGAUUAGAUACCCAUGUAGUCCCUGAGCGGGCUGGCAAGGCGCAU